GGCGAACGCUGGCGGCGUGCUUAACACAUGCAAGUCGAACGGAAAGGCCUCUUUCGGGGGGUACUCGAGUGGCGAACGGGUGAGUAACACGUGAGUAACCUGCCCUUGACUUUGGGAUAACUUCAGGAAACUGGGGCUAAUACCGGAUAGGAGCUCCUGCUGCAUGGUGGGGGUUGGAAAGUUUCGGCGGUUGGGGAUGGACUCGCGGCUUAUCAGCUUGUUGGUGGGGUAGUGGCUUACCAAGGCUUUGACGGGUAGCCGGCCUGAGAGGGUGACCGGCCACAUUGGGACUGAGAUACGGCCCAGACUCCUACGGGAGGCAGCAGUGGGGAAUAUUGCACAAUGGGUGGAAGCCUGAUGCAGCAACGCCGUGUGCGGGAUGACGGCCUUCGGGUUGUAAACCGCUUUCGCUCAUGACGAAGCUUUGUGUGACGGUAGUGGGUAAAGAAGCACCGGCUAACUACGU
rnacentral:rRNA from 1 species